rnacentral:lncRNA from 1 species
AUGGAGAAUAAUCAGUCAGGUCAAGCUCAGGACGGCAUGGCCGAUCAAAGAUUUCGCAGCUGGCUAACAGAACAACUUAAUAUGCAGCAGCAGAAUGCCGGUUGUUCUUCCAACCCAGCACCAGCAGUAAUGCAGAUGCCAGCUCUGCCAUCUCACACAGAUUAUGGUGGCAUAUAUCCCAACCCAACUGAAUAUGAUGGCUACAACUGGAGGAUGUGUGGGCAGAAAUUAGUUCAGGGUGGGUGCCAUCAGAAAUUCUACUAUGAAUGUUCUCAAGCAAACUGCGGUGCCGAGAAAUCCGUGACAUGCUCCGCAGAUGGACAGAUCAAGAAAACAGUAUGUAAGGGCAGUCACAACCAUCCACGCUCAUCAGAAAGGGUGUUUGGAGAUGGUUCAGCUACUCUGGAUGCAAUCCCUGUAGGUGAGAUAUUACAAGCAGCAGGGGUUAUCAGGCCUUCAGUUGCAAUGCCUAGGAAUGAGGAGGAAGAUGGGCUACAAUCUGGUUCGAGUGACAGCGAGGAUGAUGAUGCUAGUGAAGCAAGAGCUGCUGGUGAUGACAAUGCAAUAAGACAUGUUCCUGCAGCUGCAGCUCAAGAUACCACCGCGCAUAACACAAUUGACGUUGAUGUUCUGGGUAACAGCUCUCAGCAGCGUAAGAAUUAUCACCGAAGUGGAAAAACUUCAGGAGGAACAAGCCAUCUGCGCCGACAUCUCAAGAUAUGUCCUGCACAAUUUAGAACGACUAGACUGCAGCAAGAAGGGUCAUCUUCAAUACUUGAUUCAUCUGCUGCAAAUAACAGGAAAUUUGAUCAAGAAACAUCUCUUGAAUUGCUUAUUAGGGGUUUAGUCUCCAACCAUUGCUCAUAUUUAGUGCCAAGCAGUGCAAAUUUUAGGCAGUUUUUGGUUGCCAUCUGUCCUGAUUAUAAUAUGGUGCCGCAGGCUGCUUUUGAAGAGAAUUCUCUAAUAAAAGAAGCAGUCCAAGAUUGGAAUCUUGAGCAUAAACUUUUAGGACUUGCAUUGCACAAGUAUUUCCGUAAUAAUGUUACAUCUGACUUGGAGGAGUGUAUGGCAGGAGAAGUACAGAAUUAUCUUCUUGCUAAAUAUAAGUUAUUAACUGUGCCUUGUAUGAUAGAUGCGCUUCACGACUUUUUUGGUUACGAUGUCGGAAAUUUUGUCAAGGAAAUAAGUAAGGAAUGGUUUGAGUACAUGACAUGCUCUGCACUUUGUCUGGAAAAAUACAAGGAGAUUCUUUCGCGGAUGCACCUAAACAAACCGUCUCUUGGUUCACAGAAAUGGCACUUGACUUUCUACUUAUUUGAGGCUGCUUUGCAGUUUAAUAAAGAGUUCCCAAACCCUGAAGAGAUGGACUCGCAAAUGGAUAUACGGAAACCGUCUCCUCAAAGACUAGAAGCAACGAAAAACUUUUGUGAUCUUGUAAGGCCAAUUUACCAUGCAAUUGAUCUACUUUCCAGACAAUACGUGACUUCCAACUCACAUUUUCAUGCACUUUGGAGGGUGGGUAUAGCUCUUGGAGAAUCAUCCAGAAAAUUAAACAUGAAAUGCAUCAUUAAU